UAUGAAUAUUGAAAGUUUGUGUGUUUCCAGGCUAAGUUUAAUGCUUACAUAUCAUAGGUGAGCAAUAGGGUGUCACAGCAAACAAAGCAUUACUUUAGGGUUACCUGUGGCAACAUUUAACAAACACUGUUAAAUAGCUCAUUCAUUACCUGUGACUUACAGGCACAUUCAAAAGCAGUCUUAAAUAACGAGCAAGGGACACAAAAUGCUCACUUUGUU